UCCCUGGUAGCUCAGCUGGUAGAGAAUCUGCCUGCAAUGCGGAAGAUCUGGGUUUGAUUCCUGGAUUGGGAA
rnacentral:tRNA from 1 species